rnacentral:rRNA from 1 species
UACGUAGGGGGCUAGCGUUGUCCGGAAUCAUUGGGCGUAAAGCGCGCGUAGGCGGCCAGAUAAGUCCGGUGUGAAAGUCACAGGCUCAACCUGUGAAUGCCGCUGGAAACUGUCUGGCUUGAGUCCGGAAGGGGCGAGUGGAAUUCCUGGUGUAGCGGUGAAAUGCGCAGAUAUCAGGAGGAACACCGAUGGCGAAGGCGGGUUGCUGGGCCGACACUGACGCUGAGGCGCGAAAGCUAGGGGAGCGAACGGG